UUUUUUUUUUUAUUUCCUUUACAUUACAACAUAAAAAAUAACUAGUGUAGAGACCCACGCGAUGCAGCGGGUAGAUAAUAAAAAUAAAAUUCAAAAAUUUUAAUAAAAUUUAUAUUUACAGCUUAUUGAUAUAUAGGAAGCUUACCAUGUUAAACACAGUGAAUUUGCAUGACUAAAUUCAACUGUUAAAAAAAUAAAAUUAUAGCUAGAACCCAAUCAUUAAUAGAAUAUUAAUAUGAUGUAAUUAAAUGUUGCACGUUGCAUGUAAUUAGAGGAAUCGAAGGUGAAGGGUCGGACGUUGAGAAGAAGAGAAAGUGGUUUGAUUUAAAGUUGGGCUAUGAAAAUGAAGGAUAACAUGUCACAUGACAAAAAAAUUUUUUAUGAUGCAUGUGCAAAAGAGUUACAAAAUAGAAGGGGUGGAAGAUUAAUGGAGAAGGGAAGUGGAUUAAAGUUAUAAAGUCCACUCAUUGAUAGAAUAUUAAUAUGGUGCAUGUAAUUAAAUGUUGCACUUUACAUGUAAUUAGACGAGUGAGGAGGUGAAAAGUUGAAAGUUGAGAAGAGGAGAAUGUGGUUUGAUUUAAAGUUAGGCUAUGAGAAUGAAGAGUAAUAUGUCACGUGGCAAAAAAAACUUUUAUGGUACAUACAAAACAGUUAUAAAAGACAGGAGGUGGGAGAUUAAUGGAGAAGGGGAGUGCAUUAAAGUUAUAAAGCCAACUCUUUGAUAAAAUAUUAAUAUGAUGCAUAUAAUUAUGUACCUUGCAUGUAAUUAGAGGAGUGGGGAGAUGAAGGGUUGGGCGUUGAGAAGAAGAGAAGUAAUUUGAUUUAAAGUUGGGUCAUGAAAAUGAAAGGUAAUAUACAACGUGGCAAAAAAUAUUGUGACUUUAUUUAGAUUUAUAAAUUUAUAGAUUUAUAGAUAGGUUGUUGAUGAAAGAGAAUGGAUCUACUCAAUGGG
rnacentral:lncRNA from 1 species